GUGCUUGUUUCAGUGGCACAUAUACUAAAACUGGAACAAUACAGAGAAGAUUAGCAUGGCUCCUGUGCAAGGAUGACAUACAAAUUCCUGACGCAUUCCAUAUUUUU